UGGAAUUGUUAAUUGGGUUGCCGCACACACACAUGAAGAGGCGCAGGAGCAGACCGCUUAGGGAAGGCAACGGGGAUUCGAUGUUCGACUAUCGACGGGAGCAGAACGACCUGGCACGAUACUACACUAUGCAAUAAACUAACCAAACCUUGCACUUCGAAAGUAUAACAAAAUAUGACGGCCAAAGAAUGACGGUGCUGUCAAAAUGGUUUUGACACAAAGAUAUUCCAUAAGCUCGGCGUGUACAUACACAACGCGGAGCACGUCGAAUUUCUGCAAUGUGUGAAAAGAGCGAGACAAGAACAUGUUUGACGAACGAUAAAACAGAGAUAGCUUGUGUUGACACGCAAAAGAUAGGCCAACGAGGGUUGAAAGGGGAUGAAACGAGGUGAAACGCAUGAAAGCUUGACCGCUGGGAAUGUUCAAUUUGUUUAUUUUUUAAUUUUAAAUUAUCAAUAUUUGUGUUAUAAAUUAUUAGUAAAAUAAAGUUUAGUAAAUUCAGCACAAUUAAAUCGGGAAUGAAACAUUCUUAUGUAGCUAAAAACCAACACAGGCCAACACCAACCAAACCAACAGAGUACAGCUCUACUACUGAUAGAAGAGCAGGAGGAGGAGGAAGAAUCGCGAUCAGAAAACUGCCGGAUCUGGGUUACGGAUUUCUUUUUGGAAAGGGAAGAUGUGUGGAACCGAUUGUUAAAGGCAAUCGAUGGAGAAGGUGCCAACAACCGGAUGAACGAUUUUCUGCGACUCAAUCGGGAGGAGUUCCUUCAUGUUUGUCUUUAAUCGGUCCAAAAAUAUGCAGAGUAGAUACAACAAUGCGUAAAGCAAUAACUGCUAAGUAACGGCUUGCCAUCGCGCUUCGCUUUUUGGCCUCUGGGGACUCAUAUGAAUCGCUAUCCUUUAUGUUUAGGGUCUCAAGUCCAUCUGUAUCCCGGACCGUGCAGGAAAUUUGUGAACAUAUAAUACACGAGGUAAAGGAAUAUGUGAAGGUAUUGUAUAUUUUCCAUAUUAUCAAUAAUGUAAUUACGUUCUUAUUAACUAAGUCAUAAUUAGUGUAAUGUGGGAACAGCACGCGUUUUUCACAUAGCAGUAUUAAUCCGAAUGAUCCCUCAGCAUGCUGAACUGAUUAUUCCGUGUUUGAUGUUCCAAUGCAAAAUAAGUAUCUCAGUUGUAACUUCAUAGUGGGAGACUAACACAUUUGAUCCUGCUAAAUUACACCUCAGCCUUA